rnacentral:rRNA from 1 species
UGGGGAAUAUUGCACAAUGGGCGAAAGCCUGAUGCAGCGACGCCGCGUGAACGAAGAAGUAUUUCGGUAUGUAAAGUUCUAUCAGCAGGGAAGAAAAGUGACGGUACCUGACUAAGAAGCUCCGGCUAAAUACGUGCCAGCAGCCGCGGUAAUACGUAUGGAGCAAGCGUUAUCCGGAUUUACUGGGUGUAAAGGGUGCUCAGGCGGAUUUGUAAGUCAGAGGUGAAAUCUUACAGCUUAACUGUGAAACUGCCUUUGAUACUGCAAGCCUAGAGUAUGGAAGAGAGUGAUGGAAUAUCUGGUGUAGCAGUGAAAUGCGUAGAUAUCAGAUAGAACACCAAUGGCGAAGGCAGUCACUUGGUCCAUUACUGACGCUAAAGCACGAAAGCGUGGGUAGCAAACA